rnacentral:rRNA from 1 species
UACGUAGGUGGCAAGCGUUGUCCGGAUUUAUUGGGUUUAAAGGGUGCGUAGGCGGCUUUGUAAGUCAGUGGUGAAAUACUCUAGCUUAACUAGAGGGGUGCCAUUGAUACUGCGGAGCUUGAGUACAGAUGAGGUAGGCGGAAUUGACGGUGUAGCGGUGAAAUGCAUAGAUAUCGUCAAGAACACCGAUAGCGAAGGCGGCCUGCUGGGCAGUGGCUGACACUGAGGCGCGACAGCGUGGGGAGCAAACAGG